rnacentral:rRNA from 1 species
ACGAACGCUGGCGGCGUGCCUAAUACAUGCAAGUCGAGCGAGCGGAACCCACAGAUUUACUUCGGUAAUGACGUUGGGAAAGCGAGCGGCGGAUGGGUGAGUAACACGUGGGGAACCUGCCCCUAAGUCUGGGAUACCGAUUGGAAACAGGUGCUAAUACCGGAUAAUAAAGCAGAUCGCAUGAUCAGCUUUUGAAAGGCGGCGUAUGCUGUCGCUAAGGGAUGGCCCCGCGGUGAAUUAGCUAGUUGGUAAGGUAACGGCUUACCAAGGCGACGAUGCCUAGCCGAGUUGAGAGACUGAUCGGCCACAUUGGGACUGAGACACGGCCCAAACUCCUACGGGAGGCAGCAGUAGUGGAAUCUUCCACAAUGGACGCUAGUCUGAUGGAGCAACGCCGCGUGAGUGAACAAGGUUUUCGGAUCGUAAAGCUCUGUUGCUGGUGAAAUAAGGAUAGAGGUAGUAACUGGCCUUUUAUUUUGACGGGUUAUCAACCCAGAAAAGUCAUCGGAUAAAUUAC